rnacentral:rRNA from 1 species
GAUGAACGCUGGCGGCGUGCUUAACACAUGCAAGUCGAACGAAGUGGCGAACGGGUGAGUAACGCGUAAUCAACUUGCCCUUCAGAGGGGGACAACAGUUGGAAACGACUGCUAAUACCGCAUACUGAAGGAGGGGAUUGCGUGUGAUUAGCUGGUUGGAGGGGUAACGGCCCACCAGGGCGAUGAUCAGUAGCCUGUCUGAGAGGAUGAACGGCCACAGUGGGACGUAGACACGGCCCAGAAUCCGACGGGAGGCAGCAGUGGGGAAUCUUCCGCAAUGGAAGGAAGUCUGACGGAGCAACGCCGCGUGAGUGAAGACGGCCUUCGGGUUGUAAAGCUCUGUUAAGCGGGAAGCGGUACCGGAAGAGAAAGCCACGGCUAACUACGUGCCAGCAGCCGCGGUAAUAC